rnacentral:lncRNA from 1 species
UGGGGUAGUUCUUUUCAUGAACUUUUAAUUGCCUAGAAGCAUAGACUACCAUCCUACAAUAUUGCAUCAACACGGUACCAAGAUCGACUCGAGUAGCAUCACAAUAAACCCCAAAACCAUUAAUACCCUCAAGCAGUGUCAACACCGGAGUUGAAGUCAAUUUAUCUUUCAAACUUCUCAAAACUAUCCUCACAUAUAUCAGACCAUAAGAACUUGACCUUUUUGGGUCAAUUUGGUCAACGGGGC